rnacentral:rRNA from 1 species
CACGAACCGUACGAACGUUAUUCGGAAUUACUGGGCUUAAAGGGUUUGUAGGCGGCCAUGUAAGUCGGGUGUGAAAUCCCUCGGCUCAACCGAGGAAUGGCGCCCGAUACUGCAUGGCUUGAGGGAGACAGGGGUAAGCGGAACUGAUGGUGGAGCGGUGAAAUGCGUAGAUAUCUGGAGGAACACCGGAGGCGAAAGCGGUCCACUGGGCAACUUCUGACGCUGAGGUGCGAAAGCUAGGGUAGCAAACGGG